AGAAUCUUUCGCAAUGCCCGAAAGGGUGACGAAGCGACGCCGCGUGUGAGAAGAAGGCCUUCGGGUUGUAAACCACUGUCGGGAGUUAAGAAAUGCAAGGAUAUUAAUAGUGUCUUUGCUUGACUAAGGCUCCGGAGGAAGCCACGGCUAACUCUGUGCCAGCAGCCGCGGUAAUACAGAGGCGGCAAGCGUUGUUCGGAAUUAUUGGGCGUAAAGAGCACGUAGGCGGCUAUGUAAGUCGGUUGUGAAAGCCUUCCGCUCAACGGGAGAACAGCAUCCGAUACUACAUGGCUUGAGUGCGGGAGGGGAGAGUGGAACUUCUGGUGGAGCGGUGAAAUGCGUAGAUAUCAGAAGGAACGCCGGCGGCGAAAGCGGCUCUCUGGCCCAUAACUGACGCUGAGCGUGCGAAAGCUAGGGGAGCAAACGGGAUUAGAUACCCCGGUAGUCCUAGCCGUAAACGAUGGGCACUAAGUAGAGGGGUUUUGAUUAUCUCUCUGCCGGAGCUAACGCAUUAAGUGCCCCGCCUGGGGAGUACGGCCGCAAGGCUAAAACUCAAAAGAAUUGACGGGGGCUCGCACAAGCGGUGGAGCAUGUGGCUUAAUUCGAUGCAACGCGAAGAACCUUACCGGGGUUUGACAUGGUAGAAGUAGAAGCCUGAAAGGGUGGCGAGCGGUAUCCAGUCCGUAGCUAUCACAGGUGUUGCAUGGCUG
rnacentral:rRNA from 1 species